GACGAACGCUGGCGGCGUGCUUUCCUUUUGCAAGUCGAACGAUGAAGUUCCUUCGGGAAUGGAUUAGUGGCGAACGGGUGAGGAACACGUGAGAAACCUGCCUUUCAUUCUGGAAUAACACCGGGAAACCGGUGCUAAUACCGGAUACUCCGUCUUGGCGGCUUCGCCGAGCCGGGAAAAAAUUUUGAUGAAAGAUGGUCUCGCGGCCUAUCACCUAGUUGGUGAGGUAAUGGCUCACCAAGGCAACAACGGGUAGCCGGCCUGAGAGGGCGACCGGCCACACUGGGACUGAAACACGGCCCAAACUCCUACGGGAGGCAGCAGUAGGGAAUAUUGGGCAAUGGGCGCAAGCCUGACCCAGCGACGCCGCGUGAGGGAUGAAGGUCUUCGGAUUGUAAACCUCUUUCAGUAGGGAAGAAGCGAAAGUGACGGUACCUAAAGAAAAACCACCGGCUAACUAUGUG
rnacentral:rRNA from 1 species